UGGGGAAUAUUGCGCAAUGGGGGAAACCCUGACGCAGCAACGCCGCGUGCAGGAAGAAGGUCUUCGGAUUGUAAACUGUUGUCGCAAGGGAAGAAGACAGUGACGGUACCUUGUGAGAAAGUCACGGCUAACUACGUGCCAGCAGCCGCGGUAAUACGUAGGUGACAAGCGUUGUCCGGAUUUACUGGGUGUAAAGGGCGUGUAGGCGGGAUAGCAAGUCAGUCGUGAAAUACCGAGGCUCAACCUCGGAGCUGCGAUUGAAACUGUUAUUCUUGAGUAUCGGAGAGGAAAGCGGAAUUCCCAGUGUAGCGGUGAAAUGCGUAGAUAUUGGGAGGAACACCAGUGGCGAAGGCGGCUUUCUGGACGACAACUGACGCUGAGGCGCGAAAGUGUGGGGAGCAAACAGG
rnacentral:rRNA from 2 species